GGAUAACUGUGGUAAUUCUAGAGCUAAUACAUGCACACACACCUGACUUUAAAGUAUGGUUGUGUUUAUUGAUGUCAAAACCAAUUCAAGCUCUGCUUGAUGUAUAGCAUGAUUGAUUAUUAAUGAAUGAAUUGCAUGGCGCAUGCUGGCAAUGUANUGUUUUAGUUUCUGACCUAUCAGCUUCCGACGGUCAGGUAUUGGCUUACCGUGGCAAUGACGGGUGACGGAGAAUUAUGGUUUGAUUCCAGACAGGGAGCCUGACAAAUGGCUACCACAUCUUAGGAAGGCAGCAGGCGCUAAUAUUAUACAAUCUUGGCAUAGGGAGGUAGUGACAAGAAAUAACAAUACAGGGCAUCCAUGUUUUGUAAUUGGAAUGGACAGAUGUUAACCUUCUCUGUGAGUAUCAAUUGGAGGGCAAGUCUGGUGCCAGCAGCCGCGGUAAUUCCAGCUCCAAUAGCGUAUAUUAAAGUUGUUGCGGUUAAAAAGCUCGUAGUUGGAUUUCUGCUGAAACAAACCGGUCCGCCCUCUGGGUGAGCAUCUGGUUUUGUUUUGGCAUAUGCUUAGACUUUGCAGCUGCACUUGACUGUGUGGUGCGAAGGCUGAGCCUUUUACUUUGAGGAAAUCAGAGUGUUUCAAGCAGGCCAUUGCCUUGAAUACACUAGCAUGGAAUAAUAUGAUAUGACUGUGGUUUUAUUUUGUUGGCUUUUAGAAUUAAAGUAAUGGUUAAUAGGGAUAGUUGGGGGCAUUCAUAUUUAACUGUCAGAGGUGAAAUUCUUGGAUUUGUUAAGGAUGAACGACUGCGAAAGCAUUUGCCAAGGAUGCUUUCAUUGAUCAAGAACGAAAGUUAGGGGAUCGAAGACGAUUAGAUACCGUCCUAGUCUUAACCAUAAACCAUGCCAACUAGAGAUUGGAGAUUGUUAUGUGCAUGACUCCUUCAGCACCUUAUGAUAAAUCAAAGUCUUUGGGUUCCGGGGGGAGUAUGGUCGCAAGGCUGAAACUUAAAGGAAUUGACGGAAGGGCACCACCAGGUGUGGAGCGUGCUGCGUUAUUGGGACUCAACACGGGGAAACUUACCAGGUCCAGACAUAGUAAGGAUUGACAGAUUGAUAGCUCUAUAUUGAUUCUAUGGGUGCUGGUGCAUGGCCGUUCUUAGUUGGUGGAGUGAUUUGUCUGGAUAAUUCCGUUAACGAACGAGACCUUAACCUGCUAGAUAGUUACACUUAACUUCGGUUAUGUGGGCAACUUCUUAGAGGGACUUUGUGUGUUUAACGCAAGGAAGUCUGAGGCAAUAACAGGUCUGUGAUGCCCUUAGAUGUUCUGGGCUGCACGCGCGCUACACUGAUGCGGUC
rnacentral:rRNA from 1 species